AGAGUUUGAUCCUGGCUCAGGAUCAACGCUGGCGGCGUGCUUAAUGCAGGCAAGUCGAACGAAGAGGUUGUAGCAAUACGGUCUCUUAGUGGCGAAUGGGUGCGUAACACGUAGGUGACCUGCCCUGAAGUGGGGAAUAACAGUUCGAAAGGACUGCUAAUACCGCAUGUGGUCUUGAAUGUUUGAGUUUUCAAGUCUAAAGGCGAAAGCCGCUUUAGGAGGGGCCUGCGGCCCAUCAGCUAGUUGGUAGGGUAAUGGCCUACCAAGGCAACGACGGGUAGGGGACCUGAGAGGGUGGCCCCCCACACUGGCACUGACACACGGGCCAGACUCCUACGGGAGGCAGCCGCAGGGAAUAUUGCCCAAUGGACGAAAGUCUGAGGCAGCAACGCCGCGUGCGCGAUGAAGGCCUUCGGGUCGUAAAGCGCUUUUCGGGAGGAUGAGGAAGGACAGUACUCCCGGAAUAAGUCACGGCUAACUACGUGCCAGCAGCCGCGGUAAAACGUAGGUGGCGAGCGUUAUCCGGAUUUACUGGGCGUAAAGCGCGUUCAGGUGGCUCGGCUAGUCGGGCAUGAAAUCUCUAGGCUCAACCUGGAGAGGUUGUCCGAUACUUCCGGGCUUGAGGGCAGCAGAGGGCGAUGGAAUUCCGGGUGUAGUGGUAAAAUGCGUAGAUAUCCGGAGGAACACCAGUGGCGAAGGCGGUCGCCUGGGCUGCUCCUGACACUAAAACGCGAAGGCUAGGGGAGAGAACGGGAUUAGAAACCCCGGUAUUCCUAGCUGUAAACGAUGUUGACUAGGUGUUGGAAGUGUAAAAACUUUCAGUGCCGUAGCUAACGCGUUAAGUCAACCGCCUGGGGACUACGGCCGCAAGGUUAAAACUCAAAGGAAUUGACGGGGACCCGCACAAGCAGCGGAGCGUGUGGUUUAAUUCGAGCCUACGCGAAGAACCUUACCAGGGUUUGACAUAUGUGUGGUAGUGAAGCGAAAGCGGAACGACUCUUCGGAGAGCACAAACAGGUGAUGCAUGGCUGUCGUCAGCUCGUGCCGUGAGGUGUUUGGUUAAGUCCAAUAACGAGCGCAACCCUUACUGCUAGUUAUAAGUAUCUAGCGGGACUGCCGGUAUUAAGCCGGAGGAAGGUGGGGAUGACGUCAAGUCAGCAUGUCCCUUAUAUCCUGGGCUACACACACGCUACAAUGGUCAGUACAGUAGGUUGCCAAGCCGUGAGGCGGAGCCAAUCCUUAAAGCUGAUCUCAGUUCGGAUCGCAGGCUGCAACCCGCCUGCGUGAAGUCGGAGUUGCUAGUAACCGUGGGACAGCUAUACCACGGUGAAUACGUUCCCGGGUCUUGUACACACCGCCCGUCACGUCAUGGGAGCUAGCAACACCUGAAGCCGGUGAGUUAACCGCAAGGAAACAGCCGUCGAAGGUGGGGUUGGUGACUGGGACGAAGUCGUAACAAGGUA
rnacentral:rRNA from 1 species